rnacentral:rRNA from 1 species
CGAACUUACCUAUAACUAAAGAAUAGCCCUGAGAAAUUGGGAUUAAUACUUUAUAGUACUACGAUUUGGCAUCAUUUUGUAGUUAAAGAUUUAUCGGUUAUAGAUAGGCAUGCGUCCCAUUAGUUUGUUGGUGAGGUAACGGCUCACCAAGACUGCGAUGGGUAGGGGGUCUGAGAGGAUUAUCCCCCACACUGGUACUGAGACACGGACCAGACUCCUACGGGAGGCAGCAGUGAGGAAUAUUGGUCAAUGGAGGCAACUCUGAACCAGCCAUGCCGCGUGCAGGAAGACGGCCCUACGGUUGUAAACUGCUUUUAUAUAGGAAGAAACCCCCGAACGUGUUCGGGCUGACGGUACUAUAUGAAUAAGGACCGGCUAACUCCGUGCCAGCAGCCGCGGUAAUACGGAGGGUCCAAGCGUUAUCCGGAUUUAUUGGGUUUAAAGGGUGCGCAGCGGGAUAGUAAGUCAGUGGUGAAAGCCCACAGCUCAACUGUGGAACUGCCAUUGAUACUGCUAUUCUUGAAUCUAGUUGAAGUAAGCGGAAUGUAUCAUGUAGCGGUGAAAUGCAUAGAUAUGAUACAGAACACCAAUUGCGAAGCAGCUUACUAAGCUAGUAUUGACGCUCAGGCACGAAAGCGUGGGGAGCAAACAGGAUUAGAUACCCUGGUAGUCCACGCUGUAAACUAUGAUUACUCGAUGUCGGCGAUAUACUGUCGGUGUCCAAGCGAAAGUGAUAAGUAAUCCACCUGGGGAGUACGAUCGCAAGGUUGAAACUCAAAGGAAUUGACGGGGGCCCGCACAAGCGUGGAGCAUGUGGUUUAAUUCGAUGAUACGCGAGGAACCUUA